UACGUAGGGGCAAGCGUUGUCCGGAUUUAUUGGGCGUAAAGAGCGUGUAGGCGGCCAGACAGGUCCGUUGUGAAAACUCGAGGCUCAACCUCGAGACGCCGAUGGAAACCGUCUGGCUAGAGUCCGGAAGAGGAGAGUGGAAUUCCUGGUGUAGCGGUGGAAAUGCGCAGAUAUCAGGAAGAACACCCGUGGCUAAGGCGGCUCUCUAGUAACGGUAC
rnacentral:rRNA from 1 species